CGCGUGGGAAUCUACCUAGUAGUUGGGGACAACCUGGUGAAAACCAGGCUAAUACCGAAUACGCCUACGGGGAAGAUAGCCUCUUCUUGAAAGCUUUCGCUAUUAGAUGAGCCCGCGUUGGAUUAGCUAGUUGGUGGGGUAAAGGCCUACCAAGGCGACGAUCCAUAGCUGGUCUGAGAGGAUGAUCAGCCACACUGGAACUGAGACACGGUCCAGACUCUUACGGGAGGCAGCAGUGGGGAAUAUUGGACAAUGGGGGCAACCCUGAUCCAGCCAUGCCGCGUGUGUGAAGAAGGCCUU
rnacentral:rRNA from 1 species